GAGACAUUUGUCGCAGUCCUAGCCUAUAAAUUAACCAGCAACCAUCGAACAAAGGGACCCUCAACAAGUGAGGAUCCGACGGUCCGAACGGCUCUAUAGAGGAGGUCAAAUCAGGAGCCGUUAAAUUAUUUAGUCUAAAAAGUCCAUCACCGUCUCAGCUACCUCCACGUAGCCCAUCUUCAUUGAACAACCAAUCGCCGCUCCACUUAAACAGCUUUUGUCUCUCGAUCGCUCUCUGUUAUAGUGUGCCGUGCGGAACUCACUUUGUCCUUUCGUUGAUGAAGCGCACACAUGGGGUUGCAAAGGCAAAAUCACUUCGAUGAUCUCUCUCCAUUGCUUUUGCUGCUCCUCUUUGUUUUUUUAGUUUCCCACCUUCUCUUUUUUCUGUGGCUCAGGCGGUUAAACUCAGGUGGGGAAGAAGCCGAGGGUUUGGAAGGGUUUGUGUGUGUGGAGGGAACAAAGAGAUAGAUAAUGAGAAGAAAGAUCUGGGAAAUAUAGGGUCCCCAGGGUUUGUUUUGGGUCGUUGGGUGAUUGGAAAAUCCUAAAUCUUGUUGAUCAGUUGGGUAUAAACUCGUAAAGGAUAAAUUGGUAUGUGUGUUUUUGAGUGCUGGUGUGUUACCUCUGCCAAACAAAUGGGUGUAUAUGAGGUUUCUUUUAGAUCUGACUUACAGUGAUGAGUAUCUAUAUAUCAUCUUCAGUGUGAAAUCUAGUUUUUUUGGUGAUUCUUUUGGAUUUUUCUGUGUAAAAACAGCGAAUAAAUCUAAAGAGGAACAUGGAAGAGAGUCAAGAAACUGACAGAAGAGAGUGAGCACACGCUGCCAGCAAUCGUAUGAGUGCAUACCUUUGCGAGUGCGUGCUCACUUCUCUUUCUGUCAGCUUCCCAUUUUAACCGUGUCUUCCUCUUUCUUUUCUCCUCCGUUCUUCUUCUUUGUAAGUGUUUGUCUUUCUCCGUGUAUUUCACUUUCGCCCAAAAAAAGUUUCCUUGCAACUGACUUUUCUUAUAUAUGUUCAUCUGGGUGUUUCUCAUUCUUUCUAUUCCAGAAGCCCCUCCCCCCAUUCUCUUUAAGAAAAAAAGGGCACAAAUGGACAAAAGGCAAGAGAGUUGGGGCACCCGGAAAUGGCACAGAGAGUAGGCGUCCCUCGACACAUCAUGCUGUAUAUUCCCUCUUAUCCUUACGCUCUCGUCCCUCUCUCUCGCUGAUGUGUUACUAUUUUUAAUGCCUGUGUGUAUAUUGUGGUUUUAUAAAUUUGACAAGUGGAAGAAUGUUGGCAUGAAGUUCUAUCAGAAGGAAGUUGCAGACAGAACCGACCUAUCUAUUGUAGCCCAUUCUUAUCCACAUUCUGCUGCUACAUUGUUUGUCUUUUAUUUCUUUUAGUCGGUUGUACUCUUUCAUUCCUAUCACCCUGCAUCAAAUAUUUUAUUAUUAUCAUUGUUAUUAGCGUUGUUAAUUGUGAUUGAGCUGGAAAGCGUGACUUUUGAUGGUACUCUUUGGGAGAGAGGACGACGGAUGAUCUCGAAGGUACGACUGGUUACUGUUCUUGUUUUAACGGAAAACCUUAUAGUGGAUCAGCCUUACUCACGAUUCACGUUAUUUGCUUGGUUUCAUCAAACCCUGGUGUUUUGCACUUUCUUCUUCUCCUCCUCCUCUCACUGGUCGACCAUGCAAGGCAAAGGGCAUGUUUGGUUGAGGUUUCGACCAUCAUUUCGCCUUGGUCUAAUAUAAAAUCGUAGCUUUGGACUUAUUGAUUCGUAUAAGAGGUGUUUUUUGGAAGUGGGUCUGUGCAGACACUGCUAAAUAUCGAAAAAAAAAUGAUCUUCCGGAGUUUGGGCGGAGAUGCACCUUUCCCCGUAUCAGGAAUAAAGCCUUCGAAGAGGGGAUUUGCUUUAUGGCAACAGCUAAGCCUCUUGUUAAUGAUCUCUCUCGGUGUUGGGGGCAAACUGCAGCUUCCGUCUGUAUUAGGUUAAUCACUCAGUACUUGAGAAACGAAAUUUCAUCCCAAAGCAAUGAUCAGUGCUUAUCAAACAUGAAAGUGGUUAAAGCAACACGUACUGAUGGUUAUGAACCACUUUCUGGUUCUGCUUCAUGUGCUGUGUCGAGGAAUUACGUUGACAAUUAAAACUUAACUGGACCCGGGAAUGAAUUGACUCGUGCAUGUAUUGCCGGUCUUAUAUAUUUCAUUGGUCAUUGGUCAGGCCCUUGCUUAUUAUUAGUAUUAUUAUCUUUCAGCAUCCUUAAGAAAUGUCAAUUCUUGUCCAUUGACCUAGUCAUCUGUCAACAUCUGCUGCGUGUACAAAUGUUUACGAUAAUCAAUGUAUCAAUUUCAUAUCUUCAAGCGUUUUUGUAGAAAACGACAUCCUUUUUUUUUUUUUUUUUUCCUCCCUAAUUAUAUAUUGUUCUUAAAUUAAGACCUGUACAUCCUUGUUACGUGUGUUAUCCAUGAAUUAAUUCGCUGUACACCAGUAACACAACUAUUUACCUUGGGGUAUUUUGGCAUGCGUGGGAUAUCAAUACAUGCAUGAUGAUUUGGUUCGACCUUGGAAAUCUCUGAACAAUUAUUGUACCUUUGUAUAUUUUUAUUUUCAACUUUCAAAAACUAAGAACUACUAUAUAUAAAUGAUAAUCUUUUAUGUCUUUUAGGGGAAGAUGUAGGAUACUUAAUUAAUUUUUUGAAAGGAUUUGAUAAGCAGGAACUAGCUAGCUAGGAAGUAGUAUUGCUACUUGUGUAAAUCUGUUAUCAUGAUUUCAUACCAUUUCAAUAGAUCGCCAUGGAUUCAAUGUUGGAUCAUCAUGAACUAUAAGUGAUGGGAUUGAAAUGUAAUAUUUAUUUGCUUGAGUGAGAAAAUUUAUGAUAUAAUUUUCAGUUCCUUUUAAGUUUUGAAUCUAAAUUUAAUUGGUUGAUCAACAUGACUUUCGACCAUGCACAUGUGAUCUACUAGUAGUUAUAUGUUCAAAAUUUGAAAACAUGCAUCAUCGCAAGGAAUGGGCCUUUUUAACUAGUGUCAAAUGAUCAGAACAAAAUCAGUCAGUUAUAUGUAGAAUAGAAAUUACUUAUUGAAGUACACAAUAUGAUAAAUUAUGAGAAUUACAAAUAUAUAUAAUUUCCCAGUAUUGAAGUGAGAACGAUAACUACCCCGUGGGCAGUCGUUGAUCGGUUGUAAUGUUCAAGUCUUGUGUAGUUGAGUUUAGUAGUACUUUUACUAUUUAUAUGUAAGCUAUUAGAUGUAAAAUGGAAUCAAGCAAUUAGCAGCUUACUGCAUAGUACCUUGGGGGCCUAAGGUAUAUAAAUGUCUAUGAUUCUAUAUUGUUGUAUAUAUAAGGCUUAUAUAUAAUUGGGACCAAGCACCCUUAUAUAAGGUAUAUAUUGCACCAUUGAUUUGUUGUUAAUAAUGCUAUACAUAAUGCCUAGCUACCUUUGUAUAUUUAUUUUUUUGAAAAGUACAUGUAUUCUAAAAUUAGGCCAAGGUAUGUGGAUGAUUCAAAACAAGGAUUAGGCUAGCCAUCUGAGAGCAAUUCUAUUAAUCCUAAAGAUUGAAAACACAUGUUUGCAUCCCAAGGCAAGCCUACUCAAUAUUAAUUGGGUUAGGUCAUCUAAUUCUGAGAUGUAGUCAAGGCGGGCCAAGGGUUGAGUAGGAUUAGUCUUGGAUUGAUUAUCAAAAAAGCGGAUUCACGUUGGUUUAGAUGAGGUGACAUGAAUUUAAAAAAAAAAUAAUAAUUGGGGUAAGCUGAAUUAAUAUGUUACAUAUAUAGGCCGUUGCACAUGGUUUUUGCUAAUUACACAAUGUCAAUGAUAAAAAAAAAUAUGAUUCAGUUCUAAUUGACUCCUAACAAAAAUCAAUGCUUGAUACCUAACAUAGGGCAUGCAAUCACUGCAUGUGAUCGAGCUGGUGAGUGUCAUAAAAGGCCGGCCUGGUGAUGGUGCUACAUGCCAAGGCUAUGAACAUGGCCUAAAGGCUGGAGGAAACCAGCUUUGUUGAGUUGACUGAGGCUGCUGCCACCAUGAAUGCUGUACAUGUGAAGGGGACGAAUUAAUGACCAGGAAUUAGAGUUAGAGCAGCUUAUGAGGUUUAAAGUUGAUGCUUGAAACCUGACAUAGGGCUUGGACUAUAUAUUUUGCUUGGACAACCCCAUUACCUUGGGAGUACUGCUUAUGAUCGAAUUGUUCAUGAUGCUGACACAAGAAAGGAAUAUUGAACAACUGAUCUUAGUCUCGAGUAAUCAUUGUAGUGAAAUAUCAAGUGAGUGUUGUAUGUUCAUCUGA